CGCUCUCUUUUCCUUCACCCCCGGCAACCCGAGAACACAACCAUAGAGGCUUCUCAAUACUCAAAUGUCCCCUCCUCGACUCCUCGGUCCUCCGGUAGUGACCCGGAAAUGAAUUUCAGCGCGCCAUUUUGAAGGACAUCUCAUUUCUCGAAAUGCACACCGAGGAUCGAGCGUCGAGGAGGCUCUCUGGAGGAGCUAUAACCGAGGAUACACUGAUGGUUCCUCCACGGCUCCUCCGCGGAUGCAUUUCCGGGAACGGUGGAGUAUAAAAGAGGCGUGACACACCGCUGGAUUCAUUUAAAAACCAUGGCGGGAGCAAAGCACACGUGGACAGAGGAGGAAACACUGACCCUUAUUAAAGUGAGGGUCGAGAAUGACGAGCUUUUCACAGGCCGAAGGCACACUGCCAAGAAAGCCUGGGAGGAAAUUCUAAACAACAUCUGUCCAGGGACUACAGACGAAAAAUAGCCUGUUGGCUAACUCUGGCGCAUUUACAGAAAUGUCAAUCAAUGUGCACUGUCCCUGCCAAAUAAAUAUAUAAAUAAAUAAAUAAAUAAAGGCCCUUGGGCUAUUCGGUUCUGUAAGCCCCACACAGAUCAGCAAAAAGUGGGACAACUUGAAACGAAAAUACAAGGAGUUGAGAUGCCCCCCAACUGGGACAGGGACCGACAGGGGAGAGGCCACAGCAGCCACAUGGCCAUAUUUUACGGCCAUGCAUGAGGCCAUCGAUGGGAGGCCAUCCAUCGACCCUCCCACCCUGAUGGACUCGGCUGCUGUUGCUUCUGGCAGUGGCUCAACAUCCACUGAGGCUGUCCAGAGCCAGGCCACAGUGGAGGAUGAGGAGGCCGCCAAGUCUGGCUCGGACAGCCAGGAGGAUGUUGAGCCAUCCACCUCUGCCGGUCCCCCUCCCCGAAAAAAAAGAAAACGCAGUUUAUUGCAGUUCCUGGAGGCGGAGGCGGCCAACGAGGGGGACCGCUUCAACCGCCAGCAGGCAGCCAGUGAGGAAACCUCCAAAAGAUUCCUCGACUUAUUUGAAGCGUUAGUUCGAAAAGAAUAGUUUCCGUUCUUUGUUUUUCGUUUGGUUUGGAUUUGUUAUAUUGUUUUGUGUGAAGUUUAUGAAAAUAUUUAAGUUUGGAAUAAAAAUUAAGUUUGUCGUUAAAUCCAGAACAAAAA